ACAAGAAGUCACAUACUUUUAAUGUCAAGGUAAUUUACUAAGUUGAAUUGUUGGGAAAUUAAAGUGAAUUCAAAUGAAUUUUAAAUAGUAGUCCAUAGUCCAAAAUAGUCCAAAUAGAACCAUAGCUGGUUUGGAGAAUUUGUCCAAUUCAACUGUACUGGCUUAAAGAGUUUCUUCUUCAUAAAACACUGUUUUUGGUCGGAGUAACCUCUUCUGAAGUGGUCCACCCGCGGAAAAUUUAAAAAAAAGAACUAACAAUGAUAAUAAUAAAAAGUUCUUCCUGAGGCCUGAUUCUUAUUGCCUGAUGUCAGUCCCCCUCACUGGAGCAGGAGAGAGGGCAGACUGAAAGGAGGACAGGGUAGAUAUCGAGUGGUUCCCAGCAUGCAGUGUAUGCUCAUGUCAUAUGUCAAUUUUGCAGAAUCCAUCCACGAAAUUUGUUGCACCUCCAUCAAUAGAUGGGUUAUUUUCUGUAUAUGUAAUGUUUUAAAGCACCAAUACUGCACAUACAUAUUCCAGGCACCAUUACCACUUCAAUCUGUAAAGUGGCCAUGGUGUUUGAAGUAACCUUUAAAUUUGAUAUUAAAUUUGACUUAACUUUGAAUUCCUGAAUAUUAUCACUUUAGUCAACAAAUAUGUCUUUGUGCAAAAGCAUAUAGUGUGCAUUUAUUAUAUAUAACAGAAAAUAUACUUAUAGAAAAUAUUUCAGUCUGUUUAGAUAUUCUCUAUUAAGUACACCAAUGUGCCAAUUUGCACACCACGCCAUUUAUAAAGCUUGUUUCUGGCAAAGUUUAGUAAAACCUAAGUGGGUCUUACAGAGUCAGUUAGACAGAAUGAGGUCAAUUUCAACAUACCUAUUAGCUAUGUUAUGCUAUUUUAAACAGAGGUUUAUCUUUAGACAGCUCUUUUGAUCUAAAGGUUAUUAUAUGUUCAAAGCUGAUUAACCUAGCCAUGCUGCUGAUACAAGGCCAAAUACUUGAUUUAUGGUAGGUAAAAACAGAUGCAUACCCAAUACUACAUUCAACUAAAUGUGAAAAAAUACCUAAAUGCAAAACAAAUACAACUAAAUAUUACUUAUUAAAAGAAGUUAUAACUUUUUGUUCAUUUUGAAUGCUUACUUAUUUAUAGAAAUAUGAUAGUGAUUGAUUAAUUUUGCAUGUUAACCCC